rnacentral:tRNA from 1 species
GGGGGUAUAGCUCAGUGGUAGAGCAUUUGAUUGCAGAUCAAGACGUCUCCGGUACAAGUCUGGGUGCCCCCU